rnacentral:lncRNA from 9 species
AUGCCAGACCUGGAAGUCACACAGACCGGAAACAUUUCUCAUUUGGGGACACUUGUCACUAUGCUGAGUUGGUGGUGGCUGUGGGGUGGAGAGUGUCCACUACACCUCAGAAAUGACAGGGACACCUCUCCAACCCCAACCUGCCUUGACUUUCCAAUUCUCUCCUCUACCAACUCCCCCUCCAGGAAAAGAGCCAGAGAACUGAGUGCCAGUCCUGCAUUCCAGUUGCUCUGCCAGAAUCUGACCCAGAGGACAGACAGCAGGAAAAGAGAGGCAACUGGGAAGGAUGAGGGAAGGACACAGAAAGGGCAGAGAAAGAGGGAAAGUCAAGAGACACUACAAGAAUGAAGAGGCAUCCAGACCUUGCCCACUGCCCCUCACCCCCUCAUCCUUUGGAUGGAAGGGACAGAACCCCACCUGUGACAAACCCUGUCAUCCAAGGAUGGGGUCAGGUAACAAUUUUGACCUUUCUUUUUUUUUUUUUUUUUUUUUUUGGCUUUUUGCUAUUUCUUGGGCCGCUCCCGCGGCAUAUGGAAGUUCCCAGGCUAGGGGUCGAAUUGGAGCUGUAGCCACCAGCCUACGCCAGAGCCACAGCAACGUGGGAUCCGAGCCGUGUCUGCAACCUACACCACAGCUCACGGCAACGCCGGAUCGUUAA